GACGAACGCUGGCGGUGUGCUUAACACAUGCAAGUCGAACGGUAAGGCCCUUUCGGGGGUACACGCGUGGCGAACGGGUGUGUAACACGUGAGUAACCUGCCAUCCUUUCUGGGCUAACCGUCGGCAACGGUUGAUCAUACAGGAUAUGCUCUUGAUAGGCCUUAAGCGGGUUGGACUGCUUUUUUCUGGUUGGGGAUAGACUCGCGGCCUAUCUGCUUGUUGGUGAGGUAGGGGGUCACGAAGGCUUCGACGGGUAGCCGGCCGGAGAGGGUGGCCGGCCACAGGGGAACUUGGAUACGGCCCAAGCUCCUACGGGAGGCAGCAGGGGGGAAUAGGGCACAAUGGACGGUAGGCGGAUGCAGGAACGCCGCGUGCGGGAUGACGGCCGUCGGGUUGUAGUCCGCUAUCAAUUGUGACGAGGCAAGUUUGUGACGGUAGCAGUAGAAGAAGCACCGGCUAACUACGUG
rnacentral:rRNA from 1 species